rnacentral:rRNA from 1 species
CCUACGGGUGGCUGCAGUGGGGAAUAUUGGGCAAUGGGCGCAAGCCUGACCCAGCAAUGCCGCGUGAAGGAAGAAGGCUUUCGGGUUGUAAACUUCUUUUAUGAGGGACGAAACAAAUGACGGUACCUCAUGAAUAAGCCACGGCUAACUACGUGCCAGCAGCCGCGGUAAUACGUAGGUGGCAAGCGUUAUCCGGAUUUACUGGGUGUAAAGGGCGUGUAGGCGGGACUGCAAGGCAGAGGGGAAAAUUAGGGGCUCAACCCCUAACCUGCCUUUGAAACGGUAGUUCUUGAGUGAUGGAGAGGCAGGCGGACUUCCGUGUGUCGCGGUGAAAUGCGUAGAUAUCCGGAG